UUGAACCAUAAAAUAGUAUUAUUUCAGUUAAUAUAUCCGAACGAGAUUCUACAACACAUCAAGAGAUUCUUGAUCGGAACCGACGGCGAAGGAAGCUCCGUCGUCUUCGAUGCCGUCCGUCCGAAGAGCCUACGCGGCUCCUAUAUUCAUCUUCAUCCUCGCUAUGAUAGUUUUGGGUAUAAAGAUGUACAGUUCAGUGGAAGUCGUGAGAGACUAUUGCUUCUAAGUGGAACAAUACGCCUAUGAGCUGUUAACAAAUGUGGUAUGGAAGAGGGGACUAUGACGUAUGGCAUAGACGAAUCAGUAAUCCGCACGAGAUCAGAAGAAACACGAGGCAAAAGAGAAAUCAACAAGAGCACAAUGGCCACCCAAUGCCAAGCUGCCACGUCUAUAAGGAUUUGAUCCUUAAAAUCCUUAUUUAGGGAUCAAUCCUUAGUUAACUAAGUGUUUAUAUUAUUAUUAUAUUGCUAAUAACUUAGUAUUAAGAGCUAAGGAUUCUUCUUCAUCCUCCAUUGUGGGUGCUCUUAUGACAAUUACGUCCCAAGAUUCUAAGCCAUGCAUGGCUCAUUCAGGUACGUAUCUUUCUGGUUGUAUACACAGGGACAGGUGUGUAAAUUUGUGUAUACACUGAUACUGGAAUACCAAGUCUAGAAUGCCUAGCAAGCGUUUUGAAACCUUUCUUACAAGAGAUACAAGCAAUCGGGCAUGAUAUUGAUAAGUAAAUAACUAAAUAUUGGCAUGCGUGUAACCAAAUUCUCUUGGAAGCCCUUUGUCGUACAGGCGGAGGAGGAGAAGUAGAAGAAAGAGAGAACAAUGAAUGAGGAAUACAAAGGGUGAGGAGGAUCCUGCUUCCAUCACUGAUAACGAACCUAAAGAUGACGUCCAGAUUCUAUCUCAGGUUCUGAUUCUGACUAAUAUGUUAUAAGCCAUAGAAAUCUACUUUCUUUUCACAUUUUACUUUGUUGCUUUGUGCUUUUUUUUUGUUGUAAAAUUUAAUGAAAUUCAGUUUCAUGUUGAACAGUUAACUAUAUAUAAAAAGAGUACAUGCAACUCGACUGUUU